rnacentral:lncRNA from 1 species
AUUAGGUAUAAUUUUGUACUUUUAACCUUCUUUUGUGCUUUAACUAUGUUACUAAUUUAUGCUAGAUCUUUUGUUUAAAUCUUUUUCAAGGUGUAUUUUCUUAUUGGAAACAUUUGUAAAAUUGGACAAAUAAAUUGGGAAUGUGACCAUCAAUCACAGAUGAUGUGCCCCUGUUUGCAGAUAACGUUAUAAACAGACAUACCAUAAAAACAAUAAAAGUGGCAUACUUCAUCUGAGUUUUGUGUACAAGUUUCGUAACAUUCAUUGGGGUCUUCCCGAUUGUCCCACUUUUUGAAAUUUCAGGUAAAAUAGUAAUGAAGUUUUAUGGGACAAUUGGGAAUUGUGUUGGUAGUGAUUAAUUUGUGUUUAUAGUGUGUAGCAGUUAAUAACAGGUUACUUAUCAAUGUAA